UAGAGAGGCCGGGUCUCUCCCCUCGAACUAAAUUCCCAGUGUUUAGAUGAUGCAACAUCUUUACACCCUUUCUAUUUAUCGGAAUUCUCCUAUUACAAUUUAUUACUCUUUUACCCCAGGCUAACAACUCAAUGUCCUGCCGCCAUCUAACCAUUCAUUUUCUCCCUUCUUGCAUAAGUGAACCCGAUUGGGGGCCUAUCAUUUCCCCCCGCCCCAAAAUCCACCUUGUCCUCAAGGUGGAAGCUAGAAAACUGUAGUCUGAUUGUUUCAAAAGUCUCCCAAGUUGCUUCAAAUUCCGGUAGGACAUUAGGUCCUACUGUUGCCCUUGUAGAAUUAGGACGAACUCCUAACACCGUCUCCAGUUCCAUAAUGAACCUUCCCAUAGCAGUCAGUGGAGGAGGAAGUGCAGACGCUGGCUGUAUAUCACCAAUGGCCUUCCGGAGCUAGGAUACAUGGAAAACAGGAUGAAUAGUUGCAGUUUCAGGAAGUUUUAGUUUGUAAGCCACCUGUCCAAUCCUUGAUUCUACCUCAAACGAGCCAUAAUAUCGUGGGGACAGCUUUUCGGGGUGUUGUUUUACCACAGAUUUCUGUCGAUACGGCCUAUGUUUGAGAUAGAUCAGAUCCCUCAAAGCAAACUGAAUGUCACGGCGAUGCCCAUCGGCUGCCUCUUUCAUUUUCAUUUGAGCCCUAGAAAUCUGUGCUUUAAGUUCCUUCAAGACUUCAUCACAGUCUACUAAUAGUUGUUCCACCGCUGAGCUAGCCACAAUUCCCUUGUCAAAUGCCAAAAUCAGGGGAGGAUCACAUCAAUAUAAAAUCUGAAACGGUGUAUGUUUGGUCGUGGUAUGGAAGGAGGUAUUAUACCAAAAUUCAGCCCAAUGUAAAUAUUGGUUCUAUACCCAAGGUCUACCCGAAGCAAAGUACCUUAAAUACGUUUCCAGGCAGUGGUUGAGGACCUCUGUCUGGCCAUCGGUCUGUGGAUGGUAGGCCGUACUGUACUUGAGGACAGUCCCCUGAGCUUUGAACAAAGCAGCCUAGAAAUUACUCAUAAAAAUUCUGUCUCUAUCUGAGACAAUCGAGGGAGGCAUGCCGUGCAAGCGAACUACUUCCCGUAUAAACAUUUCAGCAACGAUGGAGAUGGUGAAAGGGUGUUUCAAUUCGAUGAAAUGCCUAUACUUACUCAGUCGAUCCACAACGACCAAAAUUGUAUCAAACCCCUGGACCGUGGAAGGCCUUCAAUAAAAUCCAUGGAGAUAUCAUCCCAAACUAAUUAUGGGAUCGAUAAUGGUUGCAAGAGUCCCCUAGGCGAUAGAGUGACAUAUUUGUUCUAUUUACACACCCCAUACCUUGCCACAUACUCCUUUACCAUUUUCUUCAUCCCCACCCAAUAAACUUCCCUUGUGACCCGUUUGUAUGUUUUGAGGAGCCGUGAGUGACCCCCUACCUUGGAGUCAUGGCACUCUUGCAAUAUGAGAGUGAUAAACGAGGACUGACUAGGCAAAAUUACCCUUCCCUUGUAACAUAAAACUCCCUCAAUUAGCUCAUAUCCCGCUUUUACAUUGCCUCCCAUUUGCAGGUCAGUCACUAGCUUCCUUAGAAUGACAUUUGCCGCCAAUUCCUUCUUAAUGUCCUCUAUCUACAAAACUCAAGGAGUGGAUAUCUCUAAUAAAUUCAGGGCUGGCUAAACCCAUGAUAGAGCAUCUGCAGGUUUAUGCUCUAGUCCCAGCCAGUAUUGUAUGUCAAAUUGAUACCCCAUAAGUUUAGUCAGCCACUUUUGAUGGUCUUCGCUGACCAAGCGUUGCUCCAGUAAGUACUUCAGACUUCGCUUAUCCAUUCUAACCACAAAAUGUCGUCUGACCAAUUAAUGAUGCCAUUUCUGUACAGCAAACACUAUAGCCAUGAGCUCCCUCUCAUAAAUUGAUUUUUGUCUAUCUGUUUGGGGUAAAACCCUACUGAAAUACUCAAUAGGGUGCUAUUCUGCAUCAAUAUCACCCCCAGACCUUGACCGGAAGCAUCUGUUUCAACCACAAAGACCUGUGAGAAGUCAGGUAAAGCGAGCAGUGGAACAUUGAUCAUGGCUGAUUUUAAGUUCUGGAAGGCUACCUCUGUUUCCUCAUCCUAGCGAAAACGAUCCUUCUUAAGUAACUCGAUUAAAGGCCAAGCCACCUUCGCAUACCCAUCCACGAAUCGCUGGUAAUAUCCUAUGAGGCCCAAGAACCCUCGUAACUCCCUGAUAUUACUUGGACUCGACCAACUGACCAUUGCUUCAAUUUUAACCAAUUACUAGCCACCUUUUUUCAGAAAUUACAUGGCCGAGAUAUUCAAUUUCCAUUUGGCCGAACCGACACUUUUUCUUGUUGGCACAAAGCUGGUGGUCUGUAAAGUUCCCAAAACUGAACCCAAGUGUUGCAAGUGCUCUUCCAUCAUUCGACUAUAAACCAAAAUGUCAUAAAAAAGACAAGUACAAAUUUUCGCAGAUAAGGUUUGAAAACCUCAUUCAUCGGAUAUUGAAAAGUCGCUGGUGUAUUGGUCAACCCGAAUGGCAUGACCAAAAAUUCAUAGUGACCUUCGUGGGUACAGAAGGCUGUCUUGGGAAUGUCCUUUGGUCUAACCUUGAUCUGGUGGUAUCCAGAUUUCAAGUCCAGCUUGGAAAACACCUUCGCCCUAUGCAACUCAUCUAGCAGCUCAUCUAUCACUGGAAUUGGGAAACGAUCAGGCACCGUAAGUUUAUUCAACGCCCAAUAAUCUACAUAGAACCUCCAACUCCCAUCUUUUUUUCCCAACAAGACGGGGCUCGAAAAUGGAUUGAAAUUGGGCUGAAUUAUCCCUGCAGCCAAUAUCUCCUUGACCAGCCUUUCAAUUUCAUUCUUCUGCACAUACGAGUAACGAUAUGGGCGCAUGUUUACCAAUGCCACCCCUGGUUGUAGUACAAUGGAAUGAUCAUUAGAUCGUUGGGGAGGAAGUUCACUGGGGCCUUCGAAGACCUUGCGAUGAUGCUGUAAAACUUCAUCAAAAAUGUUGGGAACAUUAGUAAUGGUCUCCCCGAUCUCCACUCCCACAUUUCCAAGCUCCGGCAAAAUCCCUUACUCUUUAUCCUUAAAUGACUUGAUUAGUGUCUUCAACGACACUUGAGAUUUAUCUAAGCCGGGGUCAUCCUGUAGCAUAAUAGGUUCACCUCUUACUUUAAAGCGCAUAGUAAGUGUCCCUCAGUUCACUUGCGUUUUGCCCAAUGAUUCCAGCUAUUUCAUCCCAAGAAUAACGUAGGUAGAACCCAAUACCAUAGGCAAGAAAUCUUCUACCACCACAAUAUUUUGCAGUGAGACCACGACUCCUUUACAAAUUCCUCCACCCUUAACUGACAGUCCAUUCCCCAUGAGAAUCCCAUAACUUACUGAACCCAUAACCGGCAUUGCUAAUUUCCUCUCUACUUCAGCAGAGAUGAAGUUGUGGGUAGCUCCACAAUCAAUUAAUCUAUCAUUUUCUAUCCCAGAAUGCUACCAUCGAGCUUCAUGGUUUUUAUGGAUGUCAAUCCUACAACUGAUUUAAUUGAGAACUCCACCAUAUCCCCUACCUUGUCUUUCUCUUCUUCUCCACAUCCUUUCUCUAGCUCAUCACUUCCUUCCUCCUGCACCAAGAGAAUUUGCAAUUCUCGAUUUUUUCAUUUAUGACCCGAAUUGUACCUUUCAUCGCAGCAGUAACAGAGGCCUUUUUCCCUCUUCAUCGGGAUUUCAGCUUUGGUCAGGCGCUUGAAGGAGGUCUCCGACUUCAAUGCUGUCACUGGUCGUUGAAUUGACUUAAGAGCGAUCAUAUUAGUCGGAUGGGGUGAUUGAAGAAUCAC
rnacentral:lncRNA from 1 species